rnacentral:lncRNA from 1 species
UAUCAGCCCCGUCAGCUCCCGCAGAGAUCCGCUGUCUCUGCUGCAGACAGCUACCUGGCCCGAGUCACGUCCUUCCUGGACCCAUCCACCUCUAAUGGCUGAUUGAGGUGGGAUUACCCCGGCGUCCCUGCUCUCAGAUCUACAGAACUCAUCUGGGUUCCAGAUACAUUUGCUGAGAGCUUUGGGCUCUCUUCUUAGUAAAGUAUACAUGCCAGACUUUUACGUUUACAUCA